AUUGAACGCUGGCGGCAUGCUUUACACAUGCAAGUCGAACGGCAGCGCGGGCUUCGGCCUGGUGGCGAGUGGCGAGCGGGUGAGUAAUACAUCGGAACGUGCCCAGUAGUGGGGGAUAGCUCGGCGAAAGCCGGAUUAAUACCGCAUACGACCUGAGGGUGAAAGCGGGGGAUCUUCGGACCUCGCGCUAUUGGAGCGGCCGAUGGCAGAUUAGCUAGUUGGUGGGGUAAAGGCCUACCAAGGCGACGAUCUGUAGCUGGUCUGAGAGGACGACCAGCCACACUGGGACUGAGACACGGCCCAGACUCCUACGGGAGGCAGCAGUGGGGAAUUUUGGACAAUGGGCGAAAGCCUGAUCCAGCAAUGCCGCGUGUGUGAUGAAGGCCUUCGGGUUGUAAAGCACUUUUGGCGGGAACGAAAAGGACUGUGCCAAUACCACGGUUCGAUGACGGUACCCGCAGAAUAAGCACCGGCUAACUACGUG
rnacentral:rRNA from 1 species